ACCUUUGCGCAGUGGCAGUAUCGUAGCCAAUAAGGGUUAUCCGAGGCGCGAUUAUUGCUAAUUGGAAAUAUGGUGAGAAAAAUAAUUCU
rnacentral:snRNA from 1 species